rnacentral:rRNA from 1 species
AGUGAACGCUGGCGAUAGGCCUAACACAUGCAAGUCGAACGGCAGCACAGUAAGAGCUUGCUCUUACGGGUGGCGAGUGGCGGACGGGUGAGGAAUACAUCGGAAUCUACUUUUUCGUGGGGGAUAACGUAGGGAAACUUACGCUAAUACCGCAUACGACCUACGGGUGAAAGCAGGGGAUCUUCGGACCUUGCGCGAUUGAAUGAGCCGAUGUCGGAUUAGCUAGUUGGCGGGGUAAAGGCCCACCAAGGCGACGAUCCGUAGCUGGUCUGAGAGGAUGAUCGGCCACACUGGAACUGAGACACGGUCCAGACUCCUACGGGAGGCAGCAGUGGGGAAUAUUGGACAAUGGGCGCAAGCCUGAUCCAGACAUACCGCGUGGGUGAAGAAGGCCUUCGGGUUGUAAAGCCCUUUUGUUAGGAAAGAAAAGCAGCAGGUUAAUACCCCGCUGUUCUGACGGUACCCAAAGAAUAAGCACCGGCUAACUUCGUG